UACAGAGGGUGCAAGCGUUGCUCGGAAUUACUGGGCGUAAAGCGUGUGUAGGCGGUCCUGCAAGUGGGGUGUGAAAUCCCAGGGCUCAACCCUGGAACUGCAUUUGAUACUGGCAGGCUAGAGUGUGGUAGAGGAUAGUGGAAUUCCCGGUGUAGCGGUGAAAUGCGUAGAUAUCGGGAGGAACAUCAGUGGCGAAGGCGGCUAUCUGGACUAACACUGACACUGAGACUCGAAAGCGUGGGGAGCAAACAGG
rnacentral:rRNA from 1 species